rnacentral:lncRNA from 1 species
AAGAUAUCCUACAGAUAACAACUACUACGAUGUGUUAACGAACUUGACUACCUUUGAGGGUGUGUUGACGAGCUUGACUACCCUUGAAGGUGUAACGAGCUUGAAUAAUCCUUGAGGGUGUGUUGACGAGCUUGACUACCAUUGAGGGUGUGAUGACGAGCUUGACUACCCUUGAAGGUGUAACCAGCUUGAAUAAUCCUUGAGGGUGUGUUGACGAGCUUGACUACCAUUGAGGGUGUGUUGACGAGCUUGAAUACCCUUGAAGGUGUAACGAGCUUGAAUAAUCCUUGAGGGUGUAUUAACGAGCUUGACUAUACCCUUGAUGGUGUGUUGACGAGCUUGGCUGCCCUUGAGGGUGUGUUAACGAGUUUGACUACCCUCAAGUGUAUCUUGACG